rnacentral:rRNA from 1 species
GUGUCAGCAGCCGCGGUAAUACGGAGGGUGCGAGCGUUAAUCGGAAUUACUGGGCGUAAAGCGCACGUAGGUGGUUGGGUAAGUCGGAUGUGAAAGCCCUGGGCUUAACCUGGGAACUGCAUUCGAUACUGCCCGACUAGAGUAUGGGAGAGGGAAGCGGAAUUUCCGGUGUAGCGGUGAAAUGCGUAGAUAUCGGAAGGAACACCAAUGGCGAAGGCAGCUUCCUGGCCCAAUACUGACACUCAGGUGCGAAAGCGUGGGGAUCAAACAGGAUUAGAUACCCUGGUAGUCC